rnacentral:lncRNA from 1 species
CCAUCACCAUCACCUCCAUGCCCAUUAUCACCAGAGAGAUAUUCAACCAGAAGUAUGGACUCAUCUCCGGGAAUUUUCAAUCUUUUGGAUCAGGAUGUUCAGUUUCCGGCGAGAAUCAGAAAUCACAUUCAGCAAGCCACACCAGCUUUUGGACCACCACCGCCACGUCCGCCACCACCUCCACCACCUCGGUCUAAGAAUAUGGAAAGCCCCAAAACACCCUCACCUCCAUUUUCAAAGCCAGCAUUUAACCCUCCAGUUCUUGAAUCUCCUUUAAAACCCAUAGGAAUUGAGAGUCCAGUAUUGGUUUCUCCAAUGGAGUUGCCUUCUAUUUCGGAACAUAUUGAGAAGAAUGAUGAGAAAACUGAGGAACCCAAACCAAAGCUGAAAACUUUGCAUUGGGAUAAAGUGAGAGCAAGUUCGGAUCGCGAAAUGGUUUGGGAUCAACUGAAAUCAAGCUCAUUUAAGUAUGAUAAUCUGUAACUAUUGCCUUUUGUUUGUAUAAGUUGAAUAGAGCUGAUACUGAUUUAUUUGCAGGUUGAAUGAAGAGAUGAUAGAAACACUGUUUGUUGUAAAGACUCCAACUUUGAAUGCAAAUGACACAGCUAGACGUCUUGUUCCCUCACCGAGCCAAGAGAAUAGGGUACUUGAUCCAAAGAAGGCACAGAACAUUGCAAUUUUGCUGAGGGCCAUAAAUGUAACCACAGAGGAAAUAUGUGAAGCCCUUUUAGAAGGUAUUCGCAGUUCUUUGAAGAGUUUAACUUAAAUACAUCGAUAUUUAUGCUAUUAGGCUGACGUAAAAGAUAACUACGGUAAUCAUUGGGAUUUGUAGGCUGGAAAAUAAGAAAGGUUACCUAGUACAGUGGGUUAAAAUGCUUGGUAUUGUAGGAAUUCUUUACAUUUGGUGGUUUAUAUAAGUUAAAUCUCUCUCUGAAUUGAAAAUUAAGAGCUGAAAAAUGGAAUGAUGGAAGUGUCUGUUAGUAUUGAUCGAGGCAAAAUCAUGUAGUUUAUCGUGCUAAAAGUUAUGCUCCUUUGCUCCCAAGAAUUUCAGUACAUGGAUUUUGAAAUCAUGUAAAAAGUUUACCUUCACUCAAUGUUCUUUGUUGGUUUCAUCAAUAGGCAGAAGUUCAAGUGUAUGUAGAAGUUGUAAAGUGUUUGGAUUUAGGAGAAUAGACAGCAGUAACAAGUUACAUCUUCUAUUCAGGAAAUGCUGAAACUAUUGGAACUGAGCUCCUUGAGAUUUUAUUGAAGAUGGCUCCAUCCAAAGAGGAAGAACGUAAACUAAAAGAAUACAAAGAUGAUUCUCCGGUCAAGCUCGGACCAGCAGAGAAGUUUCUGAAAGCAGUGCUUGAUGUACCUUUUGCAUUCAAAAGGGUAGACGCUAUGCUGUAUAUAUCAAAUUUUGAUUAUGAGGUCGACUACCUCAGAAAGUCAUUUGAAACUCUAGAGGUAACUAUUUUAAGUCAUCGUCAACUCCUACUUGUUAUUGAUGAUCCAUUCACUAAAAAAGAAUUUUGAUUUAGAUCAGAAGUAAACUUGUGAAUUAUGUCUUUAAAAUGCUUUCCUACUACAGGCAGCAUGUGAAGAGUUGAGAAGUAGCAGAAUGUUCUUAAAGCUUCUGGAAGCCGUGUUGAAGACGGGUAACCGCAUGAAUGUUGGGACAAACAGGGGAGAUGCUCAUGCCUUCAAACUUGACACACUGCUAAAGCUUGUAGAUGUAAAGGGAGCAGAUGGGAAAACAACCCUUUUGCAUUUUGUGGUUCAGGAGAUUAUAAAAGGUGAAGGUACUCGUCUUUCCGGAGGAGAUCAGAACGAACAGUGUACCACUAAUGAUGACGCUAAGUACCGGAAACUUGGCCUUCAAGUUGUUUCCAACAUUACUUCAGAGCUUAUACAUGUUAAAAAUGCUGCUGCUAUGGAUUCAGAAGUGCUCCACAGCGAUGUUUUAAAGCUUUCUAAGGGGAUUGGAAACAUUACUGAGGUUGCAGGAUACAUUGAAGCCGUUGGAUCAGAGGAAAGCAGUACUAAAAAAUUCUCUGAGUCCAUGAACAGGUUUAUGGAAAUAGCAGAAGAGAAGAUCAUAAGGCUCCAAGCUCAAGAAGCAUUGGCCAUGUCACUGGUGAAGGAAAUAACCGAGUAUUUCCAUGGAGAUUCAGCUAGAGAAGAGGCUCACCCUUUCAGAACCUUCAUGGUGGUCAAAGACUUCCUAAUGAUUCUUGAUCGCGUUUGCAAGGAAGUUGGAAUGAUAAAUGAGAGAACAGUAGUUAGCUCCGCGCAUAAAUUUCCAGUUCCUGUUAAUCCAAAUCUACAACCUGUCACUAGCAGUUACACAGCUAAACGGCAGCAUAGUUCCUCUGAUGAUGAAUAUUUAUCUUCUUAGUAGUGUUAGUUGGUCAUAACAGGCAACUCCCUAGUUUUUUGCUUCUGGCCAAAACCAAUGUAAUCUACUAUAAAGGCCUUAUAGGAGUUUGCCUGAGACUGUACCACGAAUUUUCGAGUAUAAGUAACUCUAAGUUGUAUUUAUUAGAUCAUUUUGUAUAAGAUCUUGGAAAUUCUUUAUCCUUUUCAUAUAUAUAUAGCAAGAUUUAUCAUCACAUCCAAAAUAAUAGGAAGGUUCAAACCUACAUUGAUGGAUACAAUAACAACAUACACGAGGUCUGGGAGGGUAGAGUGUAUGCGGAUAUUAUAGAGAGGCUCAAGUAUUCUUUGUACUAAUCUAACUAUAUGGAAUAUAAAAUACAAAGUCUUCAAAUGUUUGGAACAUUUUACAGUCAGCUUUGAGUGAUGGAUUUUUUCCAACUUUGCAUUUUAUAAUUACUGGAAGAUGAGACUACACUGUUCAAGCAGUAAAUCUGAAAAGAGGAAAAAUACUGACUAACACCAAUCUGUAGAAAUCUCUUCACCAUUAAAAAUACAGAAAAAGAAGCACAAAUUACAUAGUUGGGUAGCUAUGAAUAAGGGACUUACAGUAGAAAUAGAAUGAUAUUAUAUAGAUAGUGAACCGUGGUAUUUGUACAGGAUAGAAAAUGAUCUAGUAAUUAUUGUAUCUUACUCGACCAUUAUCGAAGGGCUUCAUUUACUUAUUGAGCAACAAUGAGCUCGUCCAUUUGGAAUCCGCUAUCACUCUCAGGCAUCAUAAUGUCAUCAUCAGUUGUGAAAUGAUAUCGUUCUCCGAUGGCUCUCAGAAGCUGGUACAGUUCAAACAUUGUUGGCCUCUCCUUAGGAGCAGCAGCCAACACACAUCGACAAGCAACUUUAAGGACCUGGAAGAUCUCACUGUCAUAACCUUUACUAGACAAUGAAUGGUCAAUCGCAUCUUGAAGUUUAGAUUCACCAGAGAGUUGUGUGAUCCAUUCCACCAAAUUCCCCUUAAAGGUCUCGGGAGCUUUGGCGACAGAAGUUGGUGUCUCACCUGUAACUAACUCGAGAAGUACAACACCGAAACUGUACACAUCACCUUUUGGUGUAGCCAUGAGAGUUCGCGCGUACUCAGGUGCAACAUAACCAAAGUCCCCGAAUUCCCCAUUUACAAAGGUACUCAAAUGAGUGUCAACUGGAUUCAUGAGCCUAGCAAGUCCAAAAUCCGAUAUUUUAGGUUCAUAUUCCACAUCCAGCAAGAUGCAUUUAGAACUAAUAUUUCUGUGGAUGAUACGAGGAUUGCAGUUGUGGUGAAGCCAUGCAAAUCCUUUGGCUGCUCCAAUAGCGAUUUUCAUUCUCAUAGGCCACUCAAGAGUUUUUUCCCCUUCACUCACCGAAUGCAACCUAUCAUGCAAGGUGCCAUUUGGCAUAUCUUUGUAGACCAACAGCCUUUCUUUUUUCGCCAUGCAGAAACCUAAAAGAGGCACCAGGUUACGGUGCUUUACAUUUCCCAACGUAGCCAUCUCGGAUGUAAACUCUUUCUCUGAGUGUUGAGUAUUCUGCAACCUCUUAACCAUAAGUGAAGUGCCAUCAUCAAGUACUGCUUUGUAGAAUGUCCCGGUUCUUCCUGACCCAACAAUAUUGUUCUUGCUGAAGUUGUUGGUGGCCUUCAUGAGAUCACUUAGUCUCAUUUUUGAAGUAGAUUUCUCAAACAUUGAAAGCUGAAAAUAAGGCACUUUAAGUCAAUUAAGAAUGCUUGAGCAAGAGAAAACUCACACGAGCUUAUGGUGAAAAAUUCAUUAGUUAAAUGCUUAUAUUAAAACACGAAUUUAUGGUUCUAAAUAUGAUCGCAAUGCCACAGUAGAACCCGUAAACACAAACCACAACCCACUAGAAUUGAUUUAUGACCUAUCAACAAAGCACGAACAGAAUUCUCACCUGGAUUGCCUUGGAACCCUUGAUACUCUUCGCCCAUUUAUUCCCUUCAGGAUCAUCUUCCUUUUUCCUCUUCCUGGAUAUCUUUCUCAUAUAGAAGAACAUACCGAUGGUCAAUAAUACAGCGCCUAAAGUCACCCCACCAACAGCAGCACCGACAAUGAUUCCAGUAGGGGAUUUCUUAGCAUAACCCUCACAAAGAGCUAAUGGUGGUCCACACAGUCCGGCAUUAUUGGCAUAGCUCUCUGGGGGAAAAGUUGAAUUUAUGAAACGUGGAACUGGUCCAGUCAAUCGAUUGUUUGCUACAUUAAAAUUCUUGAGCCGACCAAGCAGGGCAAUUUCUGGAGGAAUUUGACCCGUAAACUGGUUGUUGUCAAGUCUAAGGCUAUUCAAAAAAGAGCAGUUUGCAAGAUUAACUGGGAUAUCCCCUGAUAGAUUGUUGGAUGAGAGAUCCAGCGUUACCAUAAAACCUAUAAUUUUGGAGAUAUCAUUUGGAAUACUUCCAUGGAGUUUGUUGCUCGAAAGAUCUAAUGAUGUAAUAGAGGUGCAAUUCUUAAGACCACGUGGAAACUUGCCCUUGAGACCCAUGUCAGGAAGACUGAUACUCAGAACCCUGGUUUCAUCAGGAUGCCAGCACUGAAUCCCAGCAAACUUGCAGAUGAAACCUUCGGUCUGAUUAUCGAACUUCCAUGUUGUGUUCAAGAACUUCAAUGGAUCUUCAAAUGAAUCUUUUAUAGAUUUCAGACAGUCAAUGUCGCUUUGAAGAGCAGAGCAAACAGCACAGCUCAAGACCAAGUAGAUCAAAAUAGCAGCAAAGGUAGUAAGAGCUCUGUUAUCCAAAGCCAUCUUGGUGAGAGGCCCAGUCAUAACCGCAACAAUCGAAGGUCCUAAUUAAGUAGUUGACUGAAACAUUUAAGAUCUCUAUAGACUAGUUUGCAACCCCGAAAAAUCCAUUGCAAGAACAAAUCCAAUUUCUCCCGAGUUAAGAAGCAAAAUGUAAGGCUGCAAGAAAAAAAUAAGAUGAUGAAUCAGUUUUAUCAAUCAGUCAAUGCUGCCUCACUUCCAAACUAGUAAAAAAAAAACUAUAUGAAUCUACGUUUCAUCCGCUCUAUUCGGACUCAUUUCAUAUCAACAUUAGAUAACUUUUCUUCUUAAGCGAACUAGUGAUUCUCCAGAAGUAGAGGUACUCAAAUCCCACAGUUACAGGACAACCAAAAUAAAGAUUGAAGGACAAGUCAGAUACAAGCAGAAAACUGUUCCUCACAGAUUUUAAUGGGAAAAACGGCAAACAAGGAAGCAAAAGAGACUUGGGAAGAGAAAAAAGCACAAUAACAGCAAUCCAAGAGAUGCACUUCCAUAAAACUAUCGUCAACAAAAGUAAAACUUCAUUCAAAAGAUGAUUUCACCUUAUCAUCUACAUUGACAACCAUAAAAGUUCACGCCUUUUACGUGGAAGUUGAAAAAAAAGAACACCCCUACUUGAUAUAAACAAAACACACGAUGGAAGUUGGUUUUAUCUGAACUUACAAAGCCACAAGCACAAACUUCACACCUCCAAGAAGGAAGCUGAUAAAAGCCCCCUUACUUGAUAUACAGGGAAUCCCAACAAGCAAGUCUAAUAGAACCCAGAAAAGGUUCUGAAAAUCAAACAACAAGAGAGCAAAUUCCUAUCCCAAAAAAAAUUAAUUGAAGUUGAGAGCUUUUUGACCAUGACCUUCAAAUUUUCAACAAAUAAUAAACCACUGUCCUUGUUCAAAGUACUCAAGAAGGCAGCCAAUGUAUUAAAGAAAUGGUUAGUAAUAAUUAGUUAAUCACUAAGGUCAACAACAACAACAACAACGGCAACAACAAACCUAGUGUAAUCCCACAGGUCGGGUCUAGGGAGGGUACUGCACAAACCUUACCCCUACCUUGAGAUGGUAGAGAGAUUGUUUCCGAGAUACAGAAUUUACUUGAUCUUCCACAUCCACAAGCACAAAAGUUCAGACCUUCAAAAGGAAAGUUCAAAAAAGAAAAAAGACCUCUACUUGAUAUAAGACACAAACCCCAUCUCACACAAUCCACAAAACCCAAAAAGGGUUCUUAAGAUCAAACAACAAAAGGCCAAAUUCAACUUCAAUUUCCAGAAAUACAAGUCCAGAGCUUUUCUAUGCAACUUUCAAAAUUAAACAAAUUUACAAAGUCCAUAUUCAAAGCAGCUACCAACACAAUUAAAAAAAAAUCAAUCUUUUUAUAGCAACUAGGCAAAAAUACCAAAAAAACUUCAAUUUCCAUAAAUUAAGUCCAGACCCUUUCUACACAACUUUCAAAAUUCAACAAAUUACCAAGUCCUUAGUCAAAGGCAAGCAACAACAUAAUAAAGAAACAAUUUUUAAUAAGAAAUUCUACCAAUAAACAAAUUGAGCAUAAAAAAUACCAAAAGAAGACCAAGAAAUUAUAGAUGCAAGAUACUUACAGCCCAGUUGAGGAUAUCAAAUGCUGGAUCUUGAUGGUCAAUUACAAAGAAGAAAAGGGGCAAAAAAAGAGAGUAUUUUUUUGAUGAUACAGUUUUUCUUUGGUCAAAGAAAGAAGGCUAACAGUGAGAACUAAAACUGAAAACUUGCAAAGAAAUUGAAAAAAAGAAAAAGAGUGUUAAACGGGGACAGGCGACGACCAGUUGCUUGACUUGAUAUUUCAUUUGUUAUUGGAAAAGUUUUUAGCUAGUGUGAAACCCAUCAUUAUUCUUUGAACCAAAAUAUAAUUCACUGAAAUACUGAAAUGGAUCACAUGAAUUGUGGUGCAUUGGUGAGAUUAUUUUAUUUUAAUUAGAACUUUUACAUUCGAGAUUUAAAUAUGAAGAAAAUCUUGUUAGGAGCAUCUUUUCGAAUGAAUCUUGCCGGGUAUUAAAAUUUCAAUAUAAACUUUCGACCCGCUAUAAUUUUUUUUUUUAAAAAGCAAGUACUGAAAUGAAAAUAUUGAAAGUGAAGAAAAAAACUUUAGAUGACUUGUGACUUUUAGACUCUUUUUUCCCCUUUUCACACCUCAAGCUAAUUGAUCGAGUUUACCUGACACAUUUUCUUUUUCAAUUUAUCUUAAGAUAAAAUAUUAUUGUGUUCGUUUUAGUUUGUUUGUUUUGUUUAAAUUCGACAUAAAUUUUAAGAUAGUUAGAAACUUUUUGAAUUUUAUCAUCUUAAAUUAAAAAAAAUAUGUUAAAUAUAUCAAAAAAAUAAUUUUAUGAUAUUAAACAUGUCACCUAGAAUGUUGAAAUUAAAGAGCUAAUAAAAAUAUAAUAAUUAUACUUUCUUUUUUAAAUGAACUAAAAAGAUAAGUAUGAUAAACAAAUUGAAAUGAUUCUAUAAUUGGAAAAUUUUAACUUUAUUAUUUUAUCUUAAUAAAAUGAUGAAUAAUAAUACAAAUAUGCAUUUUUUAUUUUAAUCAAUAAUUUUUUAAAUAAAAACUAUCUUGUUUAAACUUUGUAUUAAGUCGAUUAUAUAAAUUGAACUGAGGGAUUAUACACUUUUUUUGGUCCAUUCUCCAUUAUUUUGUUUCUUCGAUUGUUCUAUUUUUAUUUUUAUUUUUGUUUAUUUUAGUGACAUUCAUUUUUCUUCUGAGAUUCAUAAUGAAGAAAAACAUUAUUAAAGGGUCAAACACUGUAAUUAAAAAGCUUUAAAAUUUGCCCCCUUUUUCAGAUUAACAUUUGCAAUGAAAUGUUUAAAAUAUUCCCACUUAGAUUGAUCAAACUAUUACAAGUGAAGUUUCUAUCCUACAUUUUAUAUACAUAUAUAGGAGUCAAUGACUAAUAUAUUCAGAUGAGACGAUUUAGAAUGAUGACAAUUAUAAUUCAAGAAUGAGCUUUGAUUCAAUAGUCUUACGCAAUCUAAACACGCAUACAUUAAGUGAGAAAAAAAAUAGAGAUAAAAAGAUGAAUAGUUAUUAAAAAACCUUUAAUACGCUUCAUAUUUAAAUAAAAACAUUUGAGCAAAUACAAAAUUUAAAUAUUUAUCUAUAAAAAGUAUAAAUUAAUAGUAACAACGUAAAAUCGUUUAUUAUUUUCAUUAGGGCAGUGGAAAUAAAUAGAUAAUGAAGUAAUUAAUACAUGCUGUGUUGCACGAGUAAGACGGAAAGUUUGAUCCAAACCUAUAAUCAACUUUGAAAAUAGAUGAUUUGCUCUUAACAUGUUUUUCUCACUAUAAUUAAUGGAAUGACCUUCAAAUGCGGACAAAAAUAAUAAAUAAACCAUAUAUUUUAUCAUAAUAUUUGUAUUAACUGGUGUUUACUAGUUUUUAAUGAACUUGAAAAAUAAUAAUUCGAAUGAGUAGUUAUCAAAAAUUCUCAUGGAUCAUUUUAGGUUAUAUAUCAACAUAAUUUUUAAAAUAAGUUGAAUCAAACGAAUCAAAAUAAAUUGAAUUAAUAAAAUAAAUGAGUCAUUAAUCUGGUGAAACCAAACGAAUCGAACAAAUCAUAAUUUGAUUUAGCCAUCCAAAUUUUUUUUUUGCACGAAUUAAAAUAUAUUAUUGAGAAUAAGUUAAAAGCACCUAAAAGACUAAAGCAAACAAUUUUGAAAUAGUAAUGAUUCGUUAAUUUGCUAACAUGGGAUUUUUUUUCUUAAAGUAGAUCAAUCUUUAACUUUAAAAAAGGGUUUGAUUUUGCAGUGAAUAGAUAGGAACAUUUAAUCAAAUCUCGGUUUUAUUUUCACAAUUAUUGAAAUUAAGCUAUAGUUGACCUUUCCACAAAUCAAAUUGCACAUUUAUGAACCAAACAAAAAAUAAAUAAAUAGAUUUUUAAUUAUAAAUUAUUUUAAUUCACAACUAUAUUAUCAGUGGCAAUGAAUGCGAGGCUCCACAAUUGGGCUGUUUAAGAUCGUAGAUACCUUUAGAACAUGUUAACGAACAUUCAAAAUAAUUCGAAGCUAAUUAAUAAUCUGUUCAAUCAAAUUUUUAGUAUUUAAAAACGUUCUUUUUAAUUUAUUUUUUUGAUGAGAAGUAAUUAUAUUUGGUCAAUAAAUUUUAAAUAUAUAUUUGAAUUGGUAUUUGACCAACCUUUUAAAAAAUUGUUUCUAGUAUAGUUUUCUCAAAAAGUAUUUUAUAAGAAAAAUAUUUUUAGGAAAACAUUAAGAGCUCUCACAUUUUUUAACCGUUGAUAAUCAAACUUUCAAUCUUAAGACUGGAAUGUUAUAUUAUAUGAUCAGGACCAAGAACAUCUUUUUUUCGUUUGCUAAAGUUUGGUGGAUAGGAUUAUACAUUAUUUGUGCAUGUGAGAGUUAGUUAAAAUAUAUAGCAAAUGAAUAGUGGAAGCCUAUGUAAAUUAAUGUAGUAUAAAAAAUUAUGUGACACUAAUUAACUUUUAACGGUUAAAUUUUUAGUUUUGAUUAUAGAUAUGUAUAUGAAACUCAAAAAAGAGUGAAAUAAAAGUUACCUAUUUGAAGUAACAAUAACAACAUAUCUAAUGUACUUUUGAAAAGGAUAGACAGUAGGCGAAUUUUGCCAAUUACCCCUAUUGAUAUAGGUAAAGAGAUUAUUUUUGAUAGAUCCUAAAAUGUCUAAUGCAGUUAAAAAAAAGGUAACAAACGUAAAAAUAUAAUAAAAUAUUUUGAACUGUAAUUACACACAAUAAAAUAAUAUAAAAAUCAGAGUAAAAGAAACAAUCAAUAGUAGCAUAAACAGAAGGACAAAAAAUAACAAAAGUAAUAUUAUGACCACUAGUAUGAACGAACAACGAUACAACACAUUACUACAUACUAACCUCUAUCCUAAUCUGUGUCCUUCACGGUCUCUUAUCUAAGGUCUUGUUACCGAUAGGCUGAAAUCGAGGGCCUGUUUUGCCACAAAUAUAUUUGAGAACUAGUGUUUGGUCAUAUAAUUUGACAUUGCUUGACCAGGGUCGUAUACAGGAGGGGGUAACCGGGUUCACGUGAACCCAUGGUCCCCUCCUGAAAUCAUAUAUAGUAGUGUUAUAUUUUUAAAACAUAAUUAAAUAUAGAUGCGUGAACCCAGACUCGAAGUAUCAUAUAAUGUAGUACGAUGAUAAUUGGGUGCACCUCUCUAGGUGAGGUUAGAAAUUUGAAUCUUUUAUCUAUCUUGUUUUAGUUUUCUUUCUAAGAUUUUGUAUAUGGUUUGGAUAAAUAAAAGUUAAUUUUGGACCUAUGAUUUUAAAAUUUUAAUGCUUUUCAGUAAAAAGAAUCUAACCGAUCAAAUUUAUGUCUUAGAUCCACCUUUUUGUAAUAGUGCACCCAUUAUCUAUAAAUCCUGAAUACGCCUCUGUGCUUGACAAAUAUAUUUGGCAAACAUCUCAAGUUUCAUAGAGUAGAAAGGAGGAUCAUAGAACGAAUAAAUGGUGGAGACAAGGGGUGACGUAUAUUCAUGAUGCAUUUUCUUUUCUUCAUCCGCUCUACUUCCCCAAACAUAAUUAUAGUUUUUGAGCCAAAUUUUAUUUUUUUUAAAAAUUGCCUCAAUUUUUUAUAUUUUAUAAAAAAACACCCAUUAUUUAUGAUUUUUGACUAAAUUUCAUUCAUGGUUUGUUGUACAAAAUUUAUACUAAUAUGUACAUAUUAUAUACAAUUUUAUCCGAACUUGCUUUUUGAAGUCAUUUUCCGUUGGUGUAAUAUAUCACAAAUACAAUAAAUUACAGUUGAAAAUAAAAUGAACAAAAGUGAAUAAACCAAUCAUUUAGGUUGAGGUGCAAAUAUCUCGUUCUCUAUAAGGAAACAAGUCUACUAUAGUAUAAUUUACAUUGAUCCAGUAAUAUCAAUCUUGACUUGGCCUUUCAGGAUACAACAAUCCAAUAUCAUCGCACAACUCAAACAACUCCAGGAUUUUGUUGAAGAUUCCAAAGCUCCACAAAAAAAAAACACAUUCCUUCAACAUAUAAUUACUCUCUUUUGUAUAGUGAAUACAGUUGAAGACUUGGAAUAUUUUCUUUGUCGCAACUCUCUCUUUCAUUACUACACACUAAAAUAUUAUUUCGCACUUCUCAUCUUUCUUGGGAUUAUAUCUUCUCUCCCCAAUACAAAGUAAGAUCACAUUAUUUAUAGGUGAUAAAUUCUUCUUUACAAUGAAUAUGAAGAUAAUGAGUAGUAAAUUGAGUCAACGAAUAACCCAAAUGUUACAUAAGUUACAAGGUAUAAUGAGAUAGAAUAAUUGGUGGAAUCAGUGGUAGAUCAUGACAAUAGUGAUUACAAGAGUUACAUCACUAAUAUGUCUUGUAAUCACUAUAAAGAGUUACAUUCUUGUCAAAUUAUACCCACUAAUAUAUGCACUUAAUAUUUUAAUUUUAAUAUCAAAAUGCUUAAAUACCAACACUUCCAAUUACAAGUAGUAACAAUAGUUUUUCAUAUAUAAAUCAAUGAUAUUUCCUUUUGUUUUCUUCCUUUUUUUUCAAAUUCAUACCAAUUAUGUUCGUUGUCAUAGCUUUCCAUGAAACAUUUUCAUUAUAAAAUGAUAAUACAAGCUUAUGACUAUUUUUAUUAAGUUUUAGAACUUAUAGGUAUAAAACAUAUAUUUUUUUGGGAAAAGGGUCAAAAAUAUCCUUCAACUUUGGUUUAUUGUUUGACUUUACCCUCGCUGUUAAAAUGAAGUUAAAUUUACCCUCGCCAUUACUAAUUUCACCAAAAGUACCCCUCAAAUGGAUGGAAAGCCCCAAAUCAACUAAAAUUACCCAAUUUUGAUUAAAAUGACCAGAUUUCUCUUACCCGACCCACGAAUUCAUACCAAAUUAAAACCCUAAAUCCAUUUCUCUAAUCUUCCUCUCCUUCCUCAGUUGAAACACCCUAUUAUCAGUUAACACCCAUAACUUAGAGGCAAAAAAGCUCAACUACAAUAUCAUUCUCCUUCUUCUCACAAGGUAAGUCAUUAUCUAUUGAGUUAAUUUCAUUUUAUUAUGCUAAUGGAUAUUUAACAAUGAUAGUUGCUAGCAUAUCACAUUAGCGGGAAAUUGAAAAUAAAUAAUUUGUAAUUUCGAUCGGUAAUUUUAGAGAAACUUUUGUGUUUUUUUUUUCAUUUCAGAAAUAGAGUUGAUUGAUCAAUGAUGAAGAUUGAGGUGGGAAAAUCGACAAUGGUGUAGCCGGUGACUGAGACGCCGCAACUAAGGUUGUGGAACUCUAUGGGAAAAACAACGAUGGUGUAGCCGGUGACAGAAACUCCGCAACUGAGGUUGUGGAACUCUAAUGUGGAUUUGGUGGUGCCUAAUUUCCACACACCAGUGUUUGUUUCUAUAGGCCAACAGGAUCCCUAAAUUUUUUGACCGAAAGGUGCUUAAGGAGGUAUUAAGCAAAUCCCUACUGCCGUUUUAUCCGAUGGGUGAGAGGCUGUGCAGGGACGAAGAUGGCCAUAUUGAGAUUGAUGGUAAAGGCCAAGGUGUGUUGUUUUGCAGAAGUUGAGUGAUGGUGUGGUGGAUGAUUUUGGUGAUUUUGCGCCGACGUUCGAGGCUUAUUCCGGUAGUUGAUGGAAUGGAAUCUUAUGCUCUCUUAGUGUAAUGGGUAAAAGAGAUUGGGUUUUAGGUUAGAGGGGUCGGGGCAUUGGUUUUAAAAUGGGGAAUGGGUCUUUUUUUAAAAUUCGGGUUAAUUUGGGUCAAUUUUGGGGAUUUCGUCUAAUGAGGGGUAAUUUUGGUGAAAAAACUAACAGGAGGAGUAAAUUUAACUUCAUUUUAACGGCGAGGGUAAAGUCAAACAAUAAACCAAAGUUGAGGGGUAUUUUUGACCCUUUUCCCUAUUUUUUUAAAAGUGAAAUAUUUCUAUGAAAUUCUAUGCCAAAUGCAUGUAAAAUUUUACCCAAAAAUGACUUGCUAAAAAUAUUUAAAAAUUUAUGGCCAACCGCUAGCUAGCUGAGUCAUGUCCUCAUCUAAUCACGAUACCACAUAAAUUGAGAUAGAAGAAAUAAAAAAAUAAAUUAAUUGGUGUUAUUUUUUAUUUUUUUAAAAAAAAGCUGUAAAGGAGGGAGUACUGUAGUAGAAAGCUCUUUAUUCAUUGUGGCUUGUGCGCUGUCUGCGUGAGUGAGUGGUCUCUGUCGGGUAGCUGUAUAAUAAAUUGUACUCUCCAUUUCACUUUCCUCUUUUUUCUCCCUCAAAUCCCUACACCCCUAACCCUCCCCAACCCAAAAUGGCCUGAAUUCUCCGGCGUGAUUUGCCGCCGACACCUCUUCUUCGCCUAUCGCCGCCUCCGCCGCCUCCGCCGAUCGUGUAAGUUCACUCUGAAAUUCUGUUUAAUUAGCUUUGUUGCCUUCGUUACUGUCACUCAGUACCUUCAGAUCAAGUGUUUAUCGUCUACAAUUAACUAGUAGAGUUUUACUUUUUAUCAGUAGUUGUGAAGUUUGCUUUUUUGAAUGCUCGUUGGAGCUGAGUUUUUUUUUGGAUUUUAGUAGUUGAUCUUUUUAUUUUGUCAGUGUAUUUUGUCGAUCGUCAGUAUAACUACUGGCGUUUACUUGAGCUUCAGUGAAAUUAUACUCCGUCUAUUGACGAGUAUGUUGCUGCCGGCUCUGUUUCGCCGGCUCUCUAAUUUUUUUUAUUUUUAUUAAUAAAUAAAUUAUUUGAGAAUUGAUGCAAGUAUUUUGUGUUUUUAUAUACUCGUAGCUCUUUUAGUAACGUGACAUUUUUUUUGAGAAAGUUAUAAAUUUUUUUUUUUGAGAAAAGUAACGUGACAUUUUGACAAUGCAUUCUAUGGAGUAUUAUUUUUCUACAUCUGUUGAUCCUGAAUUUCGAGUUACCUGUUGUUUCUACGGGUAAAUGGCACAUUUACGUUUACUUAGUAGUUGUUGGCCUAAUUUAGGAGUUUUACUGAAUUAGGACGUCAAAGAAAUGAUCAUUAUGUUUCUUCUCAUACCAAAUGGAUAGGAAAAAUAAUCAAAUGUGGCAAGAUUUACAGUGUUUGGCAUAGUUUUUGCUUUUCUACUGCAUGCAUGCCUUUAGUGAACAAGCAAUAAGAUUUUAAAAAAAAAUAUCAAGUACAAUGAGCUAAGUGAAUUAGUCUUUUAUGAUAACUUUGACAUGGUCAUAUAAGAUACAAAAGAGAUCACAACUUACUAGUAUUAUCAGUCGCAACUACGGGAUUGACCAGCUUAACCUUAACACAGUAUGUUAUAAUUCACUAAUCACUAUAUACAGAUUGAAAAUAAUGAGGUCCUGGGUUGCAAAGUCUUGCAAGUAAUCAAAAUUAAACCGCUUUCUGUUUUAAUCGCCAAAUACUCUCACCCCUUACCCCAAAAUAACUUUUUUCCCUCUCUGUUUUUGGGUCUGCCAUUUUCUCUCUUUUUGGCUAUAGGUGAAGAACCUGUAACUAUGAUCUAUUUUGGGUUCUCAGCAACUCUUUCAAAAAGAGUAGCAGGUAUUUUGUACUGGGAAAGGCUUUAUUAGCAUUGGUAAUGUGAAAUUAGUUUAGGAGCAUUUAUGACCAACUCUGACAUACUUUAUAAAAAGAGAAGUUGAAGGAUUAGAAGAAAAAUUUAGGUAUUCAGAUUCUUAAAACAAAUUUUAAUUAGGCUUGUCUUCGAACUAGUAGCUGUGUAAUAUGUAUGACCUCUUUCAAUAAUCUGUCUACAAAUAAUUAUGUAACAUCAUAAAUAUCUAACAUUAAAACUUCUGAAUUUUAUUUGACAAAGGUAUGAGCAUUUUGUUGCUUUAUCACAAUUAUCUCAAAAGCAUUUAUUGAAAUUUCAAUAGUUUAUCAGGGAAUUUCGCCAUGGAAGAUACACAAUCAGUUGCAACAUUGAUGGACUCCACAACAUCUAAGAUACAGCAACUACAGAAAGCAUUCGCUGAGUUGGAAAGUCACCGUGCUGUUACUCUCAACCUGCAGUGGAAGCAACUUGAAGAGCACUUUAAUGGGCUUCAGAAGUCCUUGAAGAGGCGUUUCACUGAACUGGAAGACCAAGAGAAGGAGUUUGAGACAAAAAUUGUUCAAUCUACAGAGAUAUUGGAGAAGCGUCAAGCAGCUGUUAUUGCUACAGAGCAAGCUUCUCUUCAGAGGCUCCAGGAGAAAAGAGAUGCAGCAGUUUCUGCCAUUUCAAUUGCUUUGGAGAAGCAUAGGAACCCUUGUUCUGUGGAACCAACUGUCAUUAAUUGUGAAGUUCAAGACGAGCCAUCUGUUCUGGAAGAGAAACCCGAUAAUGUAACAGAGAUUGGGCAUGUUACAGGGGAUACAUGGAAAUCUUUUCAGGAUGGUGUUGUGGAAGUUAAGUCUUAUCCAGAGCUAGUGAAUCUAUGCCGAAAUAUGGAUUCUGAAGGUCUGCACAAAUUCAUAUCAGACAACCGUAAAAACCUGGCAGCACUCAGGGAGGAGAUUCCAUUUGCUUUAAGAGCAUCAACCAAUCCUGCCUCUCUGGUUCUGGAUUCACUGAAUGGGUUUUACAACUCUGAUGUGUCUAUUUCUGAUGCUAAAAAAGAUGCUAAUCUUUUGGGACUGCGACGAACUUGUAUUAUGUUGCUGGAAUGCCUCAGUACUUUAUUGAACACCCUGGAUAUAGAUUCCAUUUUAAGUAUAAUAUCAGAAAAUAUAAGAGGACGUGCAAAAGCUAUUGCUGAAGAGUGGAAUCCGAAGUUGGAUGAACUUGACGUUGAUGCAAAUAAUGGAAAUUCUUUGGAGGCUCAUGCAUUCUUACAGCUACUUGCUACUUUUAGUAUUAGUUCCAACUUUAACCAGGAGAACUUAUCCAAGCUGAUACCCAUGGUUUCACGUCGUCGCCAAACAGCUGAUCUCUGUCGUUCCCUUGGAUUAUCUGACAGAAUGCCAGGUUGGUUUCCAUAACUUGUAGAAUUAACUGUUCAAGGUUUUUUUCUACAUUUUCUAUUUUUUACAAGUUCUUAAGGCCUCUUUAUUGUUUCUCCCCUUGAUUUUUCAAAGAGUAAUCUUAUGAUGGUUCAAAAAUAGUUAUAUCAUGGUAAAAAUUACAGAAUGCAGUGUUCUCAUCUAGCUUGUUGAAAGUCUUAAUUCAUUUGGAGUCUAGAUAUUUAAUAACUUAAUUUGAUACGAAUGGAGAACUUUAAAAAUAGGAAGUAACAUAUAAUGCUAGAACGAUAAAGCGAUUUGAAGCACAUAAGCAAAUUCACCAGACACUUGACUGCAAAGGAAUACAUCACAUCUUUGAUAUUUCCCUUUUUUUGUGCUUUUUACUUAUAUACAUUGACGGUGUAAAACAUUUUAAACUUGUUAGCUAGUUGCUUACCUUCUUUUCUAGGUUACUGAUCCAUACUUAAGUAUAAAUGGUUGCACAUAAUUGUUUUUUUAGAGAACUGACAUUGUGAAGAUACUUUACUUGUCAGUGCAGUCUUACUUAUCAAAAAAAUAAGCUAAAGCUUCAUUUCUCUUAUCUGCUUGAAUGGUUUGCUGCUUGCUCUAUACAGGUGUUAUUGAUGUGUUGAUAAACAAUGGAAGACAUAUAGAUGCUGUUAAUCUAGCUUUUGCAUUUGAGCUGACAGAGCAGUUUCCGCCUGUUUCUCUAUUGAAAUCCUACUUGAAUGAAGCUAGCAAAGCAUCUACACUUCUCAAUUCUGGAAAUGCAUCACCUACUGUGCAGGUUUGUUCCUUGUGCGUUGGUAUAAUUUGGACUUGACAUUUUUCUUUUUAUCAUAUUGCUUUCCAAAUGAAGCCUGUUCAGUGUUUACUGUUGUGUCAUGGUCCAUAUAUAAAAACCUCUUUUUCCUCCUGUUCCUUUGGGGCGUGCAAUUGUGUAUGUAGAACUUUUCAUUAGCGGUGUCACAAUUUAAAAAGUGAACAUAUUGUAAAAAUAUCAUUUCGGAAACACAAAAAUGUGCAUAAUUUGCACCUUAUCAGAGGAGGAUGAGUACAUUUUUUUAAAAAUUACUAUCAUUUUAAGUUUGUUGAAACUAUUUUUUUGCAUAUCAUAUGAGAAUGAUUUUUCAUUCAAGGGAUCGUUAAUAAUUAGAUCUCAUGGAUUUACUCAAGUCUUUACAGUAUAAAAGGCCAGGGGUUUAAUACCUCCCGACUCUAUUUCCUCUAUUGCCAAAAAGGCACAAAAUUUAGGGCAUUACACUACAUGAGGAUCGAAUACUCGACCUCGGUCGAACAAGGAAGCACCUAAAUACUAAUCCAUUCCAGGCUUGCUGUAAAGGGGUGUAAUUUUUAUUUUAUCUAGUCAUUUGGAAUAAUUAAUUGUUUUUUCUCCAGAAUGAUGUCAAUGAGAAAGAGUUGUCUGCACUAAAGGCUGUAUUAAAAUGCAUUGAAGACCAUAAGCUUGAGGAGCAAUACCUUGUGGAUCCCCUUCAGAAAAGGGUUCAUCAGCUGGAGAAAGUGAAGGCCGACAAGAAAAAGGCAACUGAAGUUGCAAAACCUCAAUCCAAAAGACCUCGUCCCAAUGGUGUCGGAAAUGGCCCCCGAGUAAAUAAUGUCGUCACUGAGAAGAACUUCUAUCCAAGAAUGACUGAUAGGUACCCGCAGCCCGUUUAUGACAGACCAUAUGCUUACCCUGGACCGACCAGCACCCACGUUCCAUCAUUCAUGGGUGCUCCUGCUUACAACUUCUCUCCUGGCCACGACUUUUUUGGAAAUGGCUACCAUUACCAGGCUCCUUACCUGCACUGAUAAGGAAACUUUGAUGAUUAUCCCUUUUAACUAUUAGUGUUUAACCUUGGAGUUUGCUUAAUUUGCUCGUGUGGGCGAAUUUAAUACUGAAUGUAGCCUACUUGUCUGUUUCUAAUCUGGUGUAAAAGCUGAUAUUUUAAUCUUUGAAUAUAUGCACUGUGUUUCAUGUUUAUAUCCAUUAAUCUCGUGUUUAACGUUUAUUUCGUGAUGCUACUGGAAAUUAUAUAUAAAUUAGUUUGUCUACUUGCUAGUGUGUACCAAUUCAGGGAAACAAAGAAAUGUCGAACUUGUUCUCGUCCCGGUAAAACGAGCCACCCGUGAUAGUCAGAUCGGUUUGAUUAUCAUUAGUAAAAGCUAGCUUUGUAAGCUAAGCAAGCAGGGCGCUAUGCUUGGUCGUAGAUCGAUCAUGAUGUGAAUGACUUUUUUGUAAUGUAAUGUAAAUGUAAUAGAAGAGAUGGAAUUCAAUUAUCAAUGCCUCUCCAUUUUCAACAAAGGUGAUAUGAGUUCCCGACUUCAUUUGUUUGUGCCCUUCUGGUGCGAGGAUUAAAUUCAUUUACUAAUUAUGGGUUAUUAUUUGUAAUAAUCUUCAAGUGAUUUUGAAAUGUAAAAAUUGGAUUCUUAACAUGAAAAAUUUAAAACUUACAAAAAUGAAAAAGAAUAAAGGUCCAUAAUAAUCAUGUAGUGUUGAUCAUCCAUUCUUAACCAAUGAGGUAUGGAUAAGGGAUAACGUUUUAUUAUUUUAUAACCAAUCACAAGCUCCCACGUAAGAGUCAUCCACCUUCAGAACCACAAAUUUUGUCUGCCAGCAAAAAAUUUAAAAAAUCCUCAUGUUCAUGUUUGAAACUUAGUUAUAUUCCUGUCUGACUUAAGUGUCAAUAUUUGCAAAAUGGCUACUGCAGCUUCCACCAUGGCUAGCCAGUUGAAUAGCAGCUUUGCUUCGUCUUUAACCAGAGGUCACGGCCUUGUUACUCCUAAAGGCAUUUCUGGUGCACCUUUCAAGAUUUUCCCUUCAACAAGAAAGUCUUGCUUCACCGUUAAGGCUGUCCAAGCUGAUAAAGUAAGAUACCAAAUCACCACUUUUCUUACUAUCAUGUUCUUGAUUUUCAAUAUUUUCUUUGUGUUUUUCGAAAAUCAGAAAUUCUAACUAGGAGAUUCAGAAAAUGAUAAAAUGUCACAUAUGAAAUCCAAACAUAUACAAUUUCAGAUUUUUUUAUGCUUAAUUAUAAGUUAAAUAUCAAGUAUUCCGGCUAUAUGCACAAUAUAAUUUUUCUAUAAAGUAGAUUCAAUUGAAACCCUUUUAAACCACGUAGCUCCACCCCUUUUGCAUCUUAUAAGUUUCCUAAUUAUAAUUUUUGGUGGGAAAAAUGUUGCUAGUGAGAUUCAAACACAUGAGCACUUACGGCUCUUUCAAGACAUCUAAAAUCACUAGGCUACAACACUUUUUUUUGUCAAGGGUGUCUAAAAUAUGUUAUUUAAUCACUUCGUAUAUCAUUUUACUUAUAUAUACGGUAUUAUUUCCCGACGAAGGGUGUCAAGUAGCUACGCCCCUGCCACCAUGCAUGAUACAAUUUUUCAACAAUAGAAUUCAAUUGAACCCUCUUCGAAUCAUGUAUAUGUGCCAGACUUUGCUUAAUUGACUCCCAAUAAUUUUAACUAAUUCAUGUCCUGAUCUUCUUUGGUUCUGCAGCCUACUUUCCAAGUGAUUCAACCUCUAAAUGGUGACCCUUUCAUUGGAAGUCUUGAAACUCCAGUAACCUCAAGCCCAUUGAUUGCAUGGUACCUCUCCAACUUGCCUGCCUACCGGACCGCGGUGAACCCGCUUCUCCGGGGAGUUGAAGUGGGCCUGGCCCAUGGAUUCUUACUAGUUGGGCCUUUUGUAAAGGCUGGUCCAUUAAGAAACACAGCUUAUGCAGGUAAAGCCCAAUUCCUAGUUUCAAUUUUUACACAUAGAGUUUGAGUUCUAUAUGCUGUUAACUAACAUGUUACUACAAGUAGGGGCGGAAGGGGAUUCGUCUGAACCUCCUUUGUCGGAAAAUUACACUUUAUAUAUAAGGUCAAUUUUUUUUUAUGUAUAUAAAAUAGAUGAUGAACCCGACCCAUUGUAUGCAGGGGGAGCUGGUUCAUUGGCAGCAGCAGGACUUGUAGUGAUCCUUAGCAUGUGUUUGACAAUUUAUGGAAUUUCAUCAUUCAAAGAAGGAGAUCCAUCAACAGCACCAGCAUUAACAUUAACUGGUAGGAAAAAAGUACCAGAUCAAUUGCAAACUGCAGAUGGAUGGGCUAAAUUCACUGGUGGAUUCUUUUUUGGUGGAAUUUCUGGUGUCACCUGGGCUUAUUUCCUCCUUUAUGUCCUUGAUCUUCCUUACUUUGUUAAGUAAAUUUCUGUACUAUUAUGAAUGUUAAAUUGGAUAUAUCAAAGUUGUAUAUCGAACCGCUGAUCUCUUGGAGAAGUGUAAUGAAUGUUUACUUUAAACGCUAGCAUAUCCGCACAUUUCGUUCUUGAUUCUAAUUCUUGCCUCCGGCUCUAGUGUAGUGGUAAUCGCGCAAUGCAUAAUGUGUGUAAUGUGUUGGGUGCAUGUCACGGCUAAUCUUGAGCUAGUCUUGGUUAUAUAAAAAAGAAAAAAAAGUGAUUUCUAGUACUCAAGGGCGUGAUCUAGUGGUCAAUGAAGUGGUUGAGAGUCAUGAGGUUUCAGGUUCAAAUCUAAGGUGAUUCUUUCCAUCUAGUUGAGGUGUGCGAAAGUUCGUCCAGACAUCAUGGUUAUCAAAAAAGAAGAAGUUGGUUUCUCCAAAUCAACCAGUUCAAGUUGGAUUGUUUAAUCUAAAGACUAAAUGGGUUGCUGUUUACGAAAUACAAAUUUGGCUUGAAAUUGGUUUAUAUGCAUGUCAAAAAUGGAAUCAAAUAUAAGAAACAUGUCUUACAUAUAAAUUGUUUUAAUUUAAUCAACGGAAAAUGAUCACCUUCGAACUAUUGGAAAUAAAAUAUCAUCCAUUUGGUUUUUGGUUAAAACAUGCCUCAAAUAUUAGAAACAGAACAAAAAUGCAUUAGCAAACUGGUCCAACUAUGCUCCUAUCCCGUUAAGGGGAAGGCAUGGGAGCCAAAACGCCUUACAAGGCGUGAUUCUCACACGCGUUUCAAUAAAAAAGUUAACACCCUUUACUAUAAGGCGUGUGAGGGGUCACGCCUUUUACCUGUUUCGAUUUUGUUAGGAAUUUUUGAUGAAAAAUAUUGUCCUUCAGGCUCUGGACUCUACAAAAUUGCUAAAGUGACAACAACAUUGAUUCUCAUGUUAACAAAAAUUAUUCGACUAUCAGCUGAAUUGUGCAACUCAACUAUUAACGAUACCAAAAGUACUUAAUCCCUUUUCAAUUUAAUUUGUGUUUCUUAAUGUAAAAUUAAUUAGUCAAUUUGGUGUAAAUAGGGACUUUUUUUUAUGACAAGGAAACCCAUCGCCACAUAGGGUAAAACCCCUUACUCCUAUGCAAUAGCUCACAAACCACACACAAGAGAGGUAGCCCGCAGUAGAUAAGUCUGGUGCGACGAAUUCGAUCCAAAAGGCAAACCCCUUACUUUCGUUGGGAAGGAGUUUCGAACUUGAAACCUUCAGCAUGAAAGUUCCAAGUCCAAACCACUAGGCCAUCCCGAAGGGUGUAAACAUGGACUUUCUUUCCCUGUUCUUUUUACAAAAAUCAAGUUAGCUAUGAAUGAUCCAUUCGUGACCAAUGCAGUUCGGAUAAGAGAUAAUGUUUCAAAACUAACCAAUAAGAAGCUCCCACGUAAGAGUUUCAUCCACCCUAAGAACCACCAAUCUGUAAACCCAAAAGAUUUUCUUUGCCAGUCAUUAACAAGACUUGUCUGCAUCUUUUGUUAUAUUCUAACUAACUGAUCAAACAAACAGAGCCAAACAAUAUUUUCCAAAAUGGCUACUGCAGCAUCCACAAUGGCUAGCCCGUUGAAGAGCAGCUUUGCUUCGUCUUUAACCAGAGGUCACGGCCUUGUUACUCCCAAAGGCAUUUCUGGUGCACCUUUUAAGAUUUUCCCUUCAACAAGAAAGUCUUGCUUCACCGUCAAGGCUGUCCAAGCUGAUAAAGUAAGAUAACUAAUCACCACUUUUCUUAUUAUCAUGUUCUUGAAUUUGACAACUUUUUUUUGAGAUAAAUUAUAAUAUUCAGAUCAGUUUGUACAUGCCUCAACUAACUCAGCCGGGAGUCGAAUCAGUAAAUUUUAUAUUUGUGUCAAAUAGAUUCACUUAAUAUGUUCAAUAAUCUAUUCAGAACCUAGUAACCAAAAUACUAAGUUAUUGUUUAGAUCCCAUAAAUUUAAAAUCUGUGAUGUAUCGAGUAAUUCUGUCCACUGAGGCUAGGACAAAUGGGAAAAGAUCACCUAUAGUUUGGAUUUCUGUAUGUUUUCUUUAGAUAAGCGGCGGAGCUUAAAAUUAUUUAAAUGCCACACCUAGAUUUCAAACUAGCAAUGUAAAAUCAAGUUUCGAGAGUAUGCCUUAAUCUAAUAGGCGGCAUAGAGUUUCUAAGUGAAGGAACUAUACAUGGAACUAGCUUUUUCUAAUCACCUUUUGCCAUUACAUAAAAAGUUUCUCUUGUGUAGAGAAAAUUCAGUAAUUUAAUUCUUUGGCUAUUGACAGGGCAAGGAAUCUGAAAGGGGAUUUGAAAAAAAUACUCAAAUGCCAUACCUAAAGUUCAUCUUAUAAGAAAAAAAUUUCUAACAAAAUGUAAAUUUUGGUUUGUUGGAUCUGAUUAUUACUCAAUAACUGUCCUUUGCUUUGUGUUGUUUUUCUUGAUUCUGCAGCCAACUUUCCAAGUGAUUCAGCCCCUUAAUGGUGACCCUUUCAUUGGAAGUCUUGAAACUCCAGUCACCUCAAGUCCAUUGAUUGCAUGGUACCUCUCCAACUUGCCUGCCUACCGGACCGCGGUGAACCCACUUCUCCGGGGAGUAGAAGUGGGCCUGGCCCAUGGAUUCUUACUAGUUGGCCCAUUCGUAAAGGCUGGCCCAUUAAGAAACACAGAGUAUGCAGGUAAAGUCAGACUUUAGAAUUUUAACUUGAUGAGUUUAAUCUUUAUAACUCACGGUUGAUUCACACCAUAGAUGUCCCUAGUUUUUAAGAGUUGUGCAAAUAGACAAAACAUUAAACUGUCAUCUAAACAUCUACAAAAUUUCAGACCAUGGUCUAAAAGGGUCAUUAUUUCGAAAUGUAUGUAUCUAAGUUCUGUGACGAAAAUAUUGUUACUAUUAUUGCAGGGGGAGCUGGUUCUUUGGCAGCAGCAGGACUUGUUGUGAUCCUUAGUAUGUGUUUGACAAUUUAUGGAAUUUCAUCAUUCAAAGAAGGAGAUCCAUCAACAGCACCAGCAUUGACAUUGACUGGCAGGAAAAAAGUGCCAGAUCAAUUGCAAACUGCAGAUGGAUGGGCUAAAUUCACUGGUGGAUUCUUUUUUGGUGGAAUUUCUGGUGUCACUUGGGCUUAUUUCCUCCUAUAUGUUCUUGAUCUUCCUUACUUUGUUAAGUAAAUUUCUUUAAUUGAUGUAACUAUUUUGAAUGUUAAAUUGGAUAUGAAAGAUGUAUAUUGAACUACUAAGCUCUUGGAGGAGUGCAAUUUAACUCGUUGUAAUGAGUUACUUGUCUUAUUCUUUAUAACUUGUAGUUAUCUUUAGUGACCUUUUAAAUGACUUGACUGUAUAUAAAAUUCUUACAUUUUUCAAGUCUAUGACUCUGAGUCGAAGAAACCGAGAUGAUUGGGCACAUGCUAGAAUAAUCUUUUAAAAGGGAAUCAUAUAACUAAAAGAAUAUUUGUAAAGAACGAUUGAACUCGUAAAAAAUGCAGAUGUCUUACCUUUUCUUUAGAAUAUUAUCUUUAAUUGUAACUCACUCUAUUUAAAUUUUAUCAAAGCCUUUUUCAAGUAAGCAAAUUAAUCCAAAUACGAAAAAUGAACAGUUCAACAAAAUAUUUCUCUCUCUCUCCAUGCAAAUCAUGCAUUAAAAUACUUUACCUCCAAAUUGAGGAUACACAUAACACAUGUAUAAAACCUCAGGGCCUGUAGAUUACUUUUUUCAGUCAUUGUAAACAUUCCUAGAAAACAAAUACAUAACUACUCAUUUCAGCUUUAGAGCACAGCCAUGGCACCUUCAGGGUAUGUAGAUUACAUUUUAAAGUUAUUGUAAAGAAUAUUUAUAUGAAUUAUGUUGCUUAUAAAGCAAGUGCAAGAUAUAUUUAUGACAAAUAUUUACUGGUAAUCAAUAAAAAUCGCGAGUUUCUCACGCUAUAAUCAGUUAAAUUGGAGUGAUAGAACUGAUAGUAUAUGUAUAGUUUGAAUCCUUUGUUUUUUAGGCAUUUUAAUGUGUUAGCUUACUGGUUAUGUACAUGUUUAGAAUGGUUGGCUGGCUUUGUUUUGAAUUGUUACGAAAUUUUAUAGUUGGUAAAAGACAUAACCUAAAUGUAUAAUCCAGAGAAUUUUAGUAACUCAGUUGGUUGGCUACUUGAACUUUCACCUUGUUGGUGAGGGAAUUCCCUCCCUGAUUUCCCCUUCCGCUACCCCUAAUUUUUUGUUCAUUUUAAAAAAAAAACUAUAUGUAUAAUCUUGCUUUUGCCAUUUGCCAGAAACUCAGGCAGCAGUGGCAAGCACAGUGUAGUCGUGACAGCUCUAGACGGAGUCAUAAAUGUGAACUCACUCUUUACCAUUGCCAUUUUUGUGGGACUGUCUCUUGCAUCUCCAGGGCAAAAGAGCCUCAACAGUAGCGAACGUUGUCAGCCAGGGAUUCUAACAGUAAAGCAACUAGUAAUCUUCGAGGUGCUUUCGUUCAGUUUCUUUCUCUUCUCAUCACUAGUAGCACAGGCCAUAAAACUCUCCCUCAAUCUUCUCUAUAGCGAAGAUCUGUCUCAUGAUUUCAGUGUUAUUGUCAAUGGAACACUCCUUAGAGCAGGAAUGUUGAUGACAGCCAUUUCCUCUGUUAUGGGGUGCUUGUUUCUUAUGGUUUCUAUGUUGAAUGUGAUUGAGAUCAAGACUGGGAUGCUAAUCUGUGGAGCUAAAUCUACUAUUAUAUCAGUUACUUUCCUCAUAAUCCUCGUUUCUUCUGGUCUUUUGGUGUAUAUUUCUGCUGCAUGGUAUGCAUUUAUCCACGCAAACGUUCACCCCCAUGAAAACAGGACUUCUUGAUUUGCCAAGCUCUCUAGUUCUAUCAAAUCCUAUUUUGUUGUCCAAUAACAGCGGUGUCUGGAUUAGUUUGUGUGCACUUCAACAAUUCUAUCUAACAAACCUUUGCUACCUCACAGAGCUUCAUAUCUUGUUUUUCAUCUUUGGUCCAGUACGUCAAAUUUUCGGCUAAGUAUAGACCCUUUGUAAGGGGACCUAUUAUUUCAAUCUUUUGUAAUUGUUUAGGUGAUGGACAGGAAAGUCCACUUUCCUUCUUGUUAAGAUAUUUAAUAUAUAUAGUUAAUUUAUCACAUCAAUGUAUAGUGCAGUGAUUUUUAAGUAAUACAAUAACAACAUACCUAGUGAAAUCCCACAAGUGAGGUCUAGAGAGGCAAGCACGGUGUACCAGACCUUACCACUAAGGGUGUUCACGGUUUGGUUUGGGUCGGUUAUUGGUCAAAACCAAAACCAAACCAACUUAAUCGGUUCUAAAAUUAUCAAAACCAAACCAAACCAAACCAAAUAUAAUAUACAUUUAUCGGUUUGGUUGUUUUCGGUUUUGGUUUGGUUUGGCUCGGUUAUUCGGUUUUUUAACCAUACAUAAAAAUAAAAGAAACAAUUCAUUCAAAACGUGAAAAAAGUGACAACAAUCCAUUCAAACAAAAAAAUAGUUAGAAUGACUGGCAUUACAGAACUUUCGAUCAUUGAAUUUACUGAAUAAAACUUCAAAAUUCACUAUUUUGGCAUUGAAGGAAGAGACAAUGAUAUUUUUAGUCUCACAAAAAAUUUUCAUACACUCAUAUACAUGAAACCAAUAAGAAAAAUGUUCUCACCUUGGACAUUUUUUCUUUCAUAAGUAAAUUAUAAAUAAAUUUUGAUGAAACAUAUAUAAAAUCUUUAAAAUUGUUUAUGAAUAUAAUAUAUUAUGUAUGUAUAAUAAUAAAAUUUAUGUAUAUAGCUUGUUGGUUCGGUUCGGUUAUUUCUUCGAUUUUUUUCGAACAAAAUCAUAACCAAACCAAAUACUAUCGGUUCUUAACAAUCUAAAACCAAACCAAACCAAAACGCAAAUUAAAUCGGUUUGGUUUGAUUUUUCGAUUUGGAUUGGUUUUUAUCCAAACCAUGAACACCCCUACUUACCACUAUCUCGUGGAGUUAGAGAGGCUGUUUUAAGUAAUAAUCUUCAGAUUUUAUUUGUUGUUGCAAGUUGUGGAAAUGCAGAAUUUUAUUUUGGCAUCAUGACAUUUUUUUAUCUUUACUUUCAUGCAACCUGGUAGUGUUAGUAUACAAGACGCUGAACUAAGAAACAUAGACGGAGAACAUAGAUAUCUCAAAAUGUAUAAAUUCGGAGAAUUUUAGUAGCUCAAUUGGUUGGCUAAACUUUUAUCUUGUUGAUAUAGACGGAGAACAUAGAUAUCUCAAAAUGUAUAAAUCCGGAGAAUUUAAGUAGCUCAGUUGGUUGGGUAAACUUUCAUCUGGUUGGUCCCUCCCAGCAACUGUUGCUUAAAAAAAAAACCGCCGCUGCCGGGGAUCGAACCCGGGUCACCCGCGUGACAGGCGGGAAUACUUACCACUAUACUACAACGACUUUGUUGGCUAUAUAUUUUGUACGAUGAAAGAUAUUAUUAUUUAAUAGUAAUAGAUUGGGAAUGAAUGGUGCUGGAUUGCCCAUCCUUUUUAUUUAAAUUGGUAAGAAGAAAGGAAAACAAAUAUAGAGAAGAAGAUAUCCAGGAUGGCUGCAACUCCCAACAUUUACACCCAAAAGUUCCCAACAAUUACAACUCAAAAUUACAUAGCCUCCAAUAUAUCUUGUUUUAUAAGUUUCCGAAAACAGAGCAGAAAAUUGGUUUUAAUAGUUGGAAACUCCAGUAGCAGCGACACAGCCUCAGCAAUAGGCACAGAUGAAACCUCACCUGUUGAAAUUGCCCCUUCUAUUAUCUCUGCUCUUAAUGUUGAAAAAGCUCUUCUUGGCAUAGGUGCUUUCUUCCAUUUCAUUUAUUUUUACAAUUCACUUUUCUUAUCACUGCAAAAGUGUAUUGAAAUUAAACUUUGUUUUCGAACAUUUUAAAUUUGAUUUGUUCAUCUUAAUAACUAUGAUUUUUAUUUUAUUUUUGUCCUUCAUUUGACUAAUAAGUUACAUUUUAGAAUGCAGCAAUAACAGAUAUAGAUCACUAUGGAAUACUAGGACUUUCAAGAAAAUGUUCAUAUGCUGAGGUCCACACAAAAACAUCUCUUUAAUUUUGUUUUUCUCUCUUUUUCACCCAUUAAUUAAUCAGAUAAAAAAGAAAAGAAUAAUUUGUUCUUAAUGUUUGACUUGUAUUCGUACAAUAUAUAUAGGUUCCAGUAGCGUACAAGAAAAAAGUUGAAGAAAUUAUGAAUGAGGGAUUGGUAGAAGAAGAGCUUAACAAGAAGCUUCAACUCCUAAAAGUAUUAAUUUCAUCUCAUUUUUUCUUAUUAAUAGACAAAGUUUUAGAGAUUAAUUUUUCUUUUGACAUAUAUAGGAAUCAUAUUCAAUUUUGUCAACACCAGAGGAGAGAAGGUUGUAUGAUUGGAGUUUGGUAAGGAGUGAAGCACCGGAUGAUUACAAAUGGCCAUUUGAGGUUGAUCCAACUCCGCCCUCUACGGGGACUCCUCCUCCUCAGGUACUGCUUUUUUCCCCAUCACUUAAUUAAUACUCCCUCCGUCUCACAAAUAAUGAUUUAGUUUAACUUGACACGAAAUUUAAAAAAAUAAAGAAGACUUUUGAAUCUUGUGGUCUUAAAUUAAAGUUAUGUCAAAUGUACAAAAUUACCUUUUAAUUUUGUGGCCUUAAACAUGCUACGUGGAAAGCUGAAAUUAAAAUGUUACCAAAAAAAGAAAUAGAUCAUUUUUUUUUGAAACAGAAUAAAAAGGAAAGAAAGUCAUUCUUUUUUAAAUGGAGGGAGUAAUUAUUAUAUCAAAACAUCACUUUGAAAUUAUUUUUAAAAAAAAGAGUCUAUUGGGAUAAUAUUUUCUUGGUUACUUACCAAACACUAGAAAAUAAGUAAGAUAACAUUUUCACCAAGCAUACUGUAAGUUAAUUAUUCCUUCAGUUAGACCAGAAAAUGAUUAUAACUUGAGUUAUCAAUAAUACUUUACGUUUUUUAAUUGUAUAAAAACAUAAUUACAGGAGCCAGAAGAUGUGGAACCAACAAUAUUAGUGGGAUAUUUCUUUUUAGGUUGGUUUGUACUAGCUGCCGUGUUAUCAAUUGCCCUUAAUCUCUAGAAAGAAAAUUAUAUAUGUUUAUCAUAUAAUAAGAUAUUCAUUUUCGUGUAACAUAUAUACACUUAAACCUUCAAUUGUUGCAUUUUUAUGAAAUUCUAUGUAAAUUUACCUUUUUUCUUCCAACGCACACCAGGGGAUUUUUCACAUUCUCUUUCUCCAGGGGAGUUCUAAUCUUCCAAUUAGGAUCCCCUCAUUGUUAGUAGUUUUAAAUUUAUACCUAUAGCUUAGUAGAUGGACUUAAUAUUUGGAAUAAGGCGAGAACUAAGUAGUAUGCAAUUAUUUACUAGUAUUAACUAUUAACUACUUAUUUCCAAAGAAAAGUGAAAGUUUGGGGGGGAUUUGAACGAUUUGUAGUAUCAAACUAUCAAUUAAUAACAUGUAACUUUCAACAAGGUUAAUUUAAACUGAUAAUUUAUAGAAAGAGAAAUCAAGAUUGUAUUCACCAAAAGAUUGUAUGAAUUAUGUUGGGUAAAUAGAAAAUCCCAUCUGGUAAUGCUAGUAUAUCAGCUUAUCAAUCUUAUACUACAUUUAAUCGUUUCUGAACCAAAUUGAAUGCAUGCCACUUUUAUUCUUUCGAAAGUGUUACCUCAAAUCAGUGACAUUUACUCAAAGUUGGUUAAUCAUAGGCAAGCUUUUAUAUCUCAAAUCUUCGUUACUAGCUCUUUUCCUAUGUUUUGCACAUUAUAACUCAAAUAAGUAAAAUUAAAGAUUCUAAUGUUUGCAACCAUUAGAAAUCAGUUAAGAUGAAAGAACUUAUAAUGUAUACAAUCAUAAUACAUGUUUUAUUUCGUAAAUAUCCUUUGUUUAGGUCAAGUCGUCAUGGAUUUCAAAACCCGAGGUUUAGCCAGUCACGCAAACUCUUGAUAAAACUUGUUCAAGUGUACAUUGUUCUUCACUAUAAACCAAGAUGAUAGUAGUAUUUAUAGUCCUGGAAAAUUUGGAAUUUAAAAUAAAAAAGCUGGUCCAUUGCUGACAGCUCAUCACAAGUGUGACGAUCCGCCGCUUACACUAUCAUCCCUUAACAAUAACUUGAUUAGAAUCUAUAUUAAAGUAUUAGAUUGUUUUACAUAGCUUACAUUGGAAGCUCUCUUGUUAACUUAUGGCACCAAUGCAUAGUGCAGUGUGGAGUAAUCAUCAGAUUUUAUUUGUUGUUGCAGAAAUGCAGAAUUUAUUUUGGCAUCAUACCAGUAUUUUUCAAUCUUUUCUCCUUCUCCUUUCUUUCUAAACUAGCAGAAUCAUAGGACAUCAAAAGGGGUUCAUGCGACCUGGUAUACAAGAGGCUGAACUAAGAAAUAUAGACGUAGAACAUAGAUAUAGAAUGACAUAUUUCAGCAGGAAUGAGCAGAUUUCUAGAACAGAGAUAAUAUUCCAUUCCAGUAUUGUUUCUAAUGAAGACAAUUAAACUCAACAACCAUACAAAGAAAUAGAAUCGUGACAAUGUUAUUCAGUUGAGGCUUUUGGAUAUCAAUGUUUAGAAUCACCUCAGCGGGUCUUGGUCUUCUGCUCGUGGACGUUGACAGCAGCACAUAUUUUCUUCCAGCAGUGGAUCACUAUGAGACUUGGUAUCCAAACCCAGAAAUGAUUUGCAAAGACAUAGUAAGCGUAGUAAUAGAAGGGGCUUGUAGAAAAAUUGUCGCCUUCCAAGACAGCUGUUAUGAAGUAUAUAGCCGUGCCAUAGAGCUGCCCCAAACAAAUGGAUAGUUGAAGUACGUGCCUGUAUGCCUUCUUAGUAGCUAUAGCAUACCUGCCAAUGCCAAAAGAACAAUGAGGUCAAACUUGAAUACAUCUUCCUGCCCCGUCCAUAUACUUUUACUAAUAAAGGAUUUAGUCAAAAUGAUCCCAGCAUCAAAUCCCGCAUACAAUAUUUGGUGGAUAGAGUUACCUGGUACAUGUGGUACAUGAGCUACUGAGAGGUAGCAGGUACCACAUGAAAUUAGUAAAGAUGCAUGCAAGUUGACUCGACCACCACAGUUAUCCAAGAAAAACAAUCCGCAUAAUUAAAUGCAGCAUUUGGAUGGUUGUAUAAGAACAAAUAAUCCCCAAUAAUCUAAUGUAGUGUUUGGUUGGCGCUAUAAAAAAAAUACCGACAUUAAAUUACACGAGAAUUAACAUGUUAUUUUAUGCGGGAUAAAGUGUGGAAUAAGAACAGUGGAUUAGCAUUACGAGGAGAGAAAUACCCUUAAAAUAAGUAACUGUUACAUUAUAUUCCUUGUAUUAUUACUUUAUCAAAAUUAUAUUCCCUGUAUAUUAUUAUUAGUCAAGUUAUUCCUUGUAUAAUUAAUACUCACUGCAAUACAAUCCUUCAUUUUUAUUUCCCGCAUAACAUACGGUACAUAACAAGUCCAUGCAUAACUAGAAUGUGAACAAGCAACCCCUUAGGAUAAGCACAUUGAUUCUGACAGUCUCAAGGUGCAUGACAAGUUAAUAUCGCUUGAGAAUGAUACUUACACUGCAAGAAGGCAUGCUGGCCCCUCUAUGACAGCUGUGACCCCUUCAACACUGAGAACUGCAGCAUCUCGGCCUACGUAUCUUGAAUCACCUUUGCUGUAUUCUUUCCCUGCAAUAUAUUGUUUGUGUUGGUACUUUUAUAGGCCAAAUUAGAAACAUAUCCUAAUACAAAUGAACUGUUCUUGUUUGUAAGAAGACUUUGCUAAAUUGAGACUUACAGACUUCAGCAAGGUAAACAGGACUAGUCUUUUGGUAGAAAUCUGGAGUAAAAACGAAAUAUCCCUCAAGGACCAUGUGGGUUAGGCCCGUGAAAAUCCACCAGCACAUGAGCACCCUGUCAGUCUUUGAUAAUUUAGGAACAAACCCUAGCAAGGAAAAGAAGGAGAAAUGAAGUUAGAGAACAAAACAUGGCCACAAUGGAGAAUGAAAAAGAUGGACUUUGCAUAUAGAAAUUUAUAACACUAAUGCAGCUGAAAAUUAUGUAGUAUAGAACUAGAUAGAAAAGACCAACAUGAUAGUAAUUUAUGUCCUCAUUUAUCAUUCACUACUAAACUUUGAGUACAUGAAACUAACACUUAGGGGCUGCAUGAGCUUAAUUGAGAAGUGAAAUAAUUGUCAAGACUGCUUGAAGUCCUGACUGAGGCAUAGGAUAAGCUGUACAACUCGACGUUUUAGGGUUCAAUAUCUUCUUUAAUCCCAUUCACAAGUCAGUAAAGUUGUGGGUUGACAUUAACAUCAAACUAGAUUCUCUUUUUUAGGGUCAAGACUGCCUGCAAUUACAACAACAUACCCAUCGUAAUCCCACAAGUGGGAUAUGGGGAAGGUAGGAUGUAAGAAGACCUUAUCCCUAUUGUAGGGUAGAGAUGCCGAUUCGGAUAGACCCUCGGCUCAAAAGAAGUGUAAUCAGGAUUGAAAGGAAAAUAAUGACAGCAAAAUAGCAAGACUAACAAAGCAAAUGAAGCAAUAGGUAGUAGUAAAAAUGAAGAAUAAGAUACUAAGCGAAUUACUAUAUAAGGAGAAGAUGAGAAGAGGAGAAUAAAUCAGUCAUGCAAUAAUCAUUGAAUAAUUACCUGAGAAUAUCCACAUGAACACCACAACCAGUAAGGAUGAGAUGCCAUAUACACCAACAAUUUCUGACUGUGAGAGGAAUAGGGGAACAAAACCAGGCAAUUUUAGAUCAUGCGGAACGUAGGGGUGAGCUUCUCCCUGGCUUGCCAUUUUUUCUCAGUGCCUGACUUAAGGACCCUUUCCUGUGAUCUGCAAUUCACAGAAAGAACAAAGUCCAUACAUUAGAGAAGGUGUUACUCAAUGAGCUACUCCACAAUUUUCACAUUCCCAUCUAACUUCACUUGUAAGUAUAAGUUAUACUCUAAUUUGACGAUCUAUCAAAAAUCAGACGGAAACUACCCUACAGCUAUUAAACUUUUUUUAAGGAAUCGGGGCACAAAAGGCAAAUACAAGAAUCAUAGUGAAAUCAGUGGAAGUGAUCAAUCAACUACGCCUCAACUACAAAAUAGUUGGACUUGACUAUGUGAAACCAUUGUAUCCGUUCCAUUCUUUUCAACUGCAUAUUAUUCUGAUGAACAAGUCAAAUUAGGGAUUCUCCAAUGUGUAUGGUAAAGGAAGAAAACAAUUUCCUAGAAAGUAUUUCACUAAAGAAGUUAUUGGGCAACACUUCUCAUGGAAAAAAUACCAUAAAAAAGAUUCACCUAUGGCAUAAAUAAAAUCAUCUUUUAACAAAUAUCGCAACUCUUAAUCCACAUACUUGCUACAAACAACACUUGAACAUUAUUUUCAAUAAUUAAGAAAUUUCAUCAAAUUCCCAAAACAAAACAUAAUUUAAUUGUCACAAUUAUAACAUGUUUGGCCAAACUUCAAAAUAACUUAUUUUGAAAAGUGUUUUCCAAGAAAAGUACUUUUGGUGAGGAACAAUUUGUGUUUGGCUAAUAAAAUUAAAAAACAUUUUUGAGCAACAAUUAGUGUUUGACCAAGUCAUCAGUUACUCCUCAAAAACACUUAUUUUCUCCCAAAAGCUUGGCCAAACACUUCACUUUUUUCAAAUAAACACUUAUGGUCUCCCAAAAACAUGGUCAAACAAGCUAUUAACAUCAAUGCUUAAUUAAUAUUUUCCACUCACCAACCAAGCAUCUGAAAAACUUUUCGAGGAAAUAAUUUUCAAAACAUUUCCCUUAAUACCAAACACAACUAGGUCUCUAAAUCAGGAAAACUAAUGCUGGUUAAAAAUUAAAAAGAAUGAGUAAAGUUUUCAAAACCCAUAGAAUCUAAAGAUGAAAAUUAAGGUCAAAAUCUCUAAAAUCACAAUUCCCACACAAUGACAGAAAACUAGAUCCCUUUUUCACUUUCAAGCAAAUGUAAGCAUAAAACAGAAGUACAAACAAAACAGACUAGUAAUUACCCUAAAGGAUGAGACUUUCACACUUCUCAGUCACUUUUAUUCACAUAUGAACAUUAUAAUAACUAUUAAAUCCAAAAUUUACAUAAUUCCUGAAACAUGCAUAUAAAGACAUGAACUUUAGCAUCCCAUUUGGUUAAAUCAUUUAAAUAGCUCAAAAAAUCCAUUAAAAUACAGAAAAUUACAAAAGGGUAACUCUUAAGAAUUUUUCAGAUCAGUGAGAGUUGACUUACCGGCGAUGAAGAAGAAAAGGGAGAGAGUAGAGAAGCUGAGAGAGUAGAGCACUGAAAUACAAAUAAGUAAAGAUUUGGAGUCACGUGAGAAAGGCACGUGACUCUCACAGUUCUGUUUGGAUGGUAAUGGGAAAUAAUUUUCUUUAGAAAUUUUUUAUAAAUUAUUUUUCUUUUUUUAUGGAAAUUAAUUUUAUAACAUCAUCUUGUUAUAACCGCUAAAAAAAUAGUAUUUGAACAAAUAAAAUUGUUAUAAAGAAGUUCUGCUGUAUAGUUUAAAGUUAUAUUGUUGUGAAAGUAAGAGAAUGGUUGGUGGGACAAGGGAGUGCAUACAAAGCCGAUUUUGGGACCAUUAUUACUUAAUUCACUUUUUAUAUUCGAAAUUUAAGCCUCGUUUUUUCAAUUUUUGCAAAAAAAAUUAAAAUCGUAACUAAAAUAUCAACGACAAAUUCUAUCGAAUUCAAUAAUUUUGAUUACUAUAUUAAAAA